rnacentral:rRNA from 1 species
ACGCUCGACACCUACGGGAGCAGCAGUGGGGAAUAUUGCACAAUGGGGGAAACCCUGAUGCAGCGACGCCGCGUGAAGGAAGAAGUAUCUCGGUAUGUAAACUUCUAUCAGCAGGGAAGAAAGUGACGGUACCUGACUAAGAAGCCCCGGCUAACUACGUCGCCGCAGCCGCGGUAAUCUGAGCGGGCUGGCAAGGC